AGGGAUCAUUACACAAAUAUGAAGGCGGGCUGGAACCUCUCGGGGGUUACAGCCUUGCUGAAUUAUUCACCCUUGUCUUUUGCGUACUUCUUGUUUCCUUGGUGGGUUCGCCCACCACUAGGACAAACAUAAACCUUUUGUAAUUGCAAUCAGCGUCAGUAACAAAUUAAUAAUUACAACUUUCAACAACGGAUCUCUUGGUUCUGGCAUCGAUGAAGAACGCAGCGAAAUGCGAUAAGUAGUGUGAAUUGCAGAAUUCAGUGAAUCAUCGAAUCUUUGAACGCACAUUGCGCCCUUUGGUAUUCCAAAGGGCAUGCCUGUUCGAGCGUCAUUUGUACCCUCAAGCUUUGCUUGGUGUUGGGCGUCUUGUCUCUAGCUUUGCUGGAGACUCGCCUUAAAGUAAUUGGCAGCCGGCCUACUGGUUUCGGAGCGCAGCACAAGUCGCACUCUCUAUCAGCAAAGGUCUAGCAUCCAUUAAGCCUUUUUUUCAACUUUUGACCUCGGAUCAGGUAGGGAUACCCGCUGAACUUAAGCAUAUCAUAGGGGGGGGG
rnacentral:misc_RNA from 1 species